UCGAUUACUUUUGCUGGAGAAGCAUUGGGAU
rnacentral:piRNA from 1 species